GCGGCAAGAGCUCAGAUUUGAAAUCGUGUUUCGGCACGAGUUGUAGAGUGUAGGCGGGAGUCUCUGUGGAGCGCGGUGUCCAAGUCCCUUGGAACAGGGUGCCUGAGAGGGUGAGAGCCCCGUGGGGUGCUGCGCGAAGCUUUGAGGCCCUGCUGACGAGUCGAGUUGUUUGGGAAUGCAGCUCUAAGCGGGUGGUAAAUUCCAUCUAAGGCUAAAUACUGGCGAGAGACCGAUAGCGAACAAGUACUGUGAAGGAAAGAUGAAAAGCACUUUGAAAAGAGAGUGAAACAGCACGUGAAAUUGUUGAAAGGGAAGGGUAUUGGGCCCGACAUGGGGAGUGCGCACCGCUGUCUCUUGUAGGCGGCGCUCUGGGCGCUCUCUGGGCCAGCAUCGGUUCUUGCUGCGAGAGAAGUGGCGCCGGAAAGUGGCUCUUCGGAGUGUUAUAGCCGGUGCCGGAUGUCGCGUGCGGGGACCGAGGGCUGCGACAUCUGUCUCGGAUGCUGGCACAACGGCGCAAUACCGCCCGUCUU
rnacentral:rRNA from 1 species